AAGGCUUCAGAUUUCUAUAAGAUAUUUGCCUGCACCUUUUUCAGUGUGUUCAGCAAUGUAUAAUUGAAGCCGACAAGUGUGUUCCCCUCGCUAUCCAGUGCUUCAAUUUUGAUGUUGCAUUUGGACGUCGGGGAACAAAAUCU